rnacentral:rRNA from 1 species
GACGAACGCUGGCGGCGUGCUUAACACAUGCAAGUCGAACGAAGAGCGAUGGAAGCUUGCUUCUAUCAAUCUUAGUGGCGAACGGGUGAGUAACGCGUAAUCAACCUGCCCUUCAGAGGGGGACAACAGUUGGAAACGACUGCUAAUACCGCAUACGAUCUAAUCUCGGCAUCGAGGAUAGAUGAAAGGUGGCCUCUACAUGUAAGCUAUCACUGAAGGAGGGGAUUGCGUCUGAUUAGCUAGUUGGAGGGGUAACGGCCCACCAAGGCGAUGAUCAGUAGGCCGGCUGGGGGGAUGGACAGCCACAAUGGGACGGGGAACCGGCCCAAGCUCCUACGGGAAGGAGCAAGGGGGAAUCUUCCGCAAGGGACGAAAGUCUGACGAAGCAACGCCGCGGGAGUGAUGACGGCCUUCGGGUUGUAAAGCUCUGUUAAUCGGGACGAAAGGCCUUCUUGCGAAUAGGGAGAAGGAUUGACGGUACCGGAAUAGAAAGCCACGGCUAACUACGUG